AGAGUCAGUCCUUCCCAAAUGUCUUCCCCCUCGUCUCCUGCGAGAGCCCCCUGUCUGAUAAGAAUCUGGUGGCCAUGGGCUGCCUGGCCCGGGACUUCCUGCCCAGCACCAUUUCCUUCACCUGGAACUACCAGAACAACACUGAAGUCAUCCAGGGUAUCAGAACCUUCCCAACACUGAGGACAGGGGGCAAGUACCUAGCCACCUCGCAGGUGUUGCUGUCUCCCAAGAGCAUCCUUGAAGGUUCAGAUGAAUACCUGGUAUGCAAAAUCCACUACGGAGGCAAAAACAAAGAUCUGCAUGUGCCCAUUCCAGCUGUCGCAGAGAUGAACCCCAAUGUAAAUGUGUUCGUCCCACCACGGGAUGGCUUCUCUGGCCCUGCACCACGCAAGUCUAAACUCAUCUGCGAGGCCACGAACUUCACUCCAAAACCGAUCACAGUAUCCUGGCUAAAGGAUGGGAAGCUCGUGGAAUCUGGCUUCACCACAGAUCCGGUGACCAUCGAGAACAAAGGAUCCACACCCCAAACCUACAAGGUCAUAAGCACACUUACCAUCUCUGAAAUCGACUGGCUGAACCUGAAUGUGUACACCUGCCGUGUGGAUCACAGGGGUCUCACCUUCUUGAAGAACGUGUCCUCCACAUGUGCUGCCAGUCCCUCCACAGACAUCCUAACCUUCACCAUCCCCCCCUCCUUUGCCGACAUCUUCCUCAGCAAGUCCGCUAACCUGACCUGUCUGGUCUCAAACCUGGCAACCUAUGAAACCCUGAAUAUCUCCUGGGCUUCUCAAAGUGGUGAACCACUGGAAACCAAAAUUAAAAUCAUGGAAAGCCAUCCCAAUGGCACCUUCAGUGCUAAGGGUGUGGCUAGUGUUUGUGUGGAAGACUGGAAUAACAGGAAGGAAUUUGUGUGUACUGUGACUCACAGGGAUCUGCCUUCACCACAGAAGAAAUUCAUCUCAAAACCCAAUGAGGUGCACAAACAUCCACCUGCUGUGUACCUGCUGCCACCAGCUCGUGAGCAACUGAACCUGAGGGAGUCAGCCACAGUCACCUGCCUGGUGAAGGGCUUCUCUCCUGCAGACAUCAGUGUGCAGUGGCUUCAGAGAGGGCAACUCUUGCCCCAAGAGAAGUAUGUGACCAGUGCCCCGAUGCCAGAGCCUGGGGCCCCAGGCUUCUACUUUACCCACAGCAUCCUGACUGUGACAGAGGAGGAAUGGAACUCCGGAGAGACCUAUACCUGUGUUGUAGGCCACGAGGCCCUGCCACACCUGGUGACCGAGAGGACCGUGGACAAGUCCACUGGUAAACCCACACUGUACAAUGUCUCCCUGAUCAUGUCUGACACAGGCGGCACCUGCUAUAGGGGGAGGUGAAUGCUGAGGAGGAAGGCUUUGAGAACCUGUGGACCACUGCCUCCACCUUCAUCGUCCUCUUCCUCCUGAGCCUCUUCUACAGCACCACCGUCACCCUGUUCAAGAGGUGAAAUGA